rnacentral:rRNA from 1 species
ACGAACGCUGGCGGCGUGCUUAACACAUGCAAGUCGAACGGAAAGGCCCUGCUUUUGUGGGGUGCUCGAGUGGCGAACGGGUGAGUAACACGUGAGUAACCUGCCCUUGACUUUGGGAUAACUUCAGGAAACUGGGGCUAAUACCGGAUAGGAGCUCCUGCUGCAUGGUGGGGGUUGGAAAGUUUCGGCGGUUGGGGAUGGACUCGCGGCUUAUCAGCUUGUUGGUGGGGUAGUGGCUUACCAAGGCUUUGACGGGUAGCCGGCCUGAGAGGGUGACCGGCCACAUUGGGACUGAGAUACGGCCCAGACUCCUACGGGAGGCAGCAGUGGGGAAUAUUGCACAAUGGGCGGAAGCCUGAUGCAGCAACGCCGCGUGCGGGAUGACGGCCUACGGGUUGUAAACCGCUUUCGCCUGUGACGAAGCGUGAGUGACGGUAAUGGGUAAAGAAGCACCGGCUAACUACGUG